CCCUAUCACUUUGAACCCUAGAAUUCUCUGCUCUUUCUAGUAUCCGUUGCAGAGGAAGCUCAUACGCCAGAGAGAAGAACGAAAGAGACCGAGGAAGUGAAAUAGAGAUAGACAUUCGGCAAUGGCUGGCUACGAAGAAAGAUACGAAGGGAACGGGGAUGGUGAGGAAUUUGAUAACAACUACCCUGCUGGAUCCUCCCCACAGCCUGGGGCUGGCAGCCACAGCCAUGGCGGUGCAGAUGAUCACAGCGAUUCCAAAUCUCAGCAUGGGUCUCGUGAUUAUGAAAAAAAAUCUUCCAAAAGCAGGGAGAAGGAUAGAGAAAAACGUGAGAAGGACAGGGAUGGUGAAAGAAGUAAGGACAGGGAUAGGGAGAAAAGCAGGGACAGGGAGAGGGACCGAGACAAGGAUCGUGACAGUCAUCAUAGGGAUCGCCAUAGGGAUCGUAGUGACAGGAGGGAGCGUGGAAGAGAUAGAGAUGAAGAUGAUUAUGUUCGAAGCCGAGAUUAUGACAGAAGGAAUGAUUAUGAUAGGGAGGAAAGGCACAGGCACCGAUCUCGGUCAAGGGGUAGAUCUGAGCACCGGUCAAAGUCAAGGUCCCGGUCUCGGUCGCGCUCAAAAAGCAAAAGAAUUAGUGGUUUUGACAUGGCACCUCCUGCCUCAGCAAUGUUAGCUGGUGUUGCCGCUGCAGCAGGUCAGAUGCCUGGUGCUAACCCAGCUAUACCUGGGAUGUUCUCAAACAUGUUUCCUCUAGCAACUGGGCAGCAGUUUGGUGCUCUUCCUGUAAUGCCAGUACAGGCUAUGACCCAACAGGCUACUAGGCAUGCUCGGCGAGUAUAUGUUGGAGGGCUUUCUCCCACAGCAAAUGAACAGUCUGUGGCAACUUUUUUCAGCCAGGUUAUGGCUGCAAUUGGAGGAAACACUGCUGGUCCAGGGGAUGCUGUUGUUAACGUAUAUAUAAACCAUGAAAAGAAGUUUGCUUUUGUGGAGAUGAGAUCAGUUGAGGAAGCCAGCAAUGCAAUGGCUUUAGAUGGGAUCAUAUUUGAGGCAGCACCUGUUAAGGUGAGGAGGCCUAGUGACUACAACCCUUCUCUUGCUGCGACUCUUGGUCCUAGCCAGCCCAAUCCCAAUCUUAACUUGGCUGCUGUUGGUCUCACUCUGGGCUCUACUGGUGGACUCGAAGGUCCAGACCGCAUAUUUGUGGGUGGACUCCCGUAUUAUUUCACAGAAGCACAGAUCAGAGAGUUGUUGGAAUCUUUUGGUCCCCUCCGAGGUUUCGAUCUAGUAAAAGAUAGAGAAACCGGGAAUUCUAAAGGCUAUGCAUUUUGUGUCUAUCAAGAUCUUUCUGUCACAGAUAUAGCUUGUGCCGCUCUGAAUGGUAUUAAAAUGGGUGAUAAGACCCUCACAGUCAGGCGUGCAAACCAGGGAACUACCCAACCUAAACCUGAGCAAGAGAAUGUACUAUUACAUGCACAGCAGCAGAUUGCAUUGCAGAGGCUUAUCUUACAGCCCACUUCUAUAAUAGCAUCUAAGGUUGUGUGCCUAACCCAAGUAGUAUCUGAGGAUGAGCUCAAAGAUGAUGAAGAGUAUGAAGACAUUCUGGAGGACAUGAGGCAAGAAGGUGGCAAAUUUGCCAUAUGUAGUCCCACAUUCUGCUAUAAAGAAUCGGGCCUAACAUACACAGACAGAAGACUACUUAGCCCUCUAUCUAUAGUCACCUGAGUUUAUUUUCUUAAUUUUUCUGAACUUUUUCUGGAUUCCAAAUUUUCGUACAUUAUAUGCAGGUACAUUGGUGAAUGUUGUCAUCCCACGCCCAAACCCAAAUGGCGAACCAUCACCUGGUGUUGGGAAGGUGUUCUUGGAGUAUGCAGAUGCUGAAGGUGCUACAAAGGCCAGGACAGGAAUGAAUGGUAGGAAAUUUGGUGGGAAUACUGUUGCGGCAGUCUUCUUUCCUGAGAAUAAGUUUGCUCUGGGAGAGUAUGAAAAUUAAUUAGUUUGUUGAAGCAUACAUGCCCGGAUGCUCUCGCCUUGGGGGUACCAUUAUAGUAUUCUUAGGAGUAUGUCGUAGCUAAAGAUGUUCAAUGGCUGCACUGGGAAUCUUCCGCUGUUUUGGUGAUUAGCUUUUUUUCCCCCUUUGGGUAACAGUUUACUUCUGUGUCACUCGACUUGCUUGUAUUAUAGUAUUCUUAGGAGUAUGUCGUAGCUAAAGAUGUUCAAUGACGGCACUGGGAAUCUUCCGCUGUUUUGGUGAUUAGCUUUUUUUUAUUUUUUAUUUUUUAUUUUUUUUCCCUUUGGGUAACAGUUAACUUCUGUAUCACUGACUUGCUUGUGGAACUAAUUUUCUUUGGACAUUCAACAGAUAUAAUGGGUUCUUUUGGGCCCAAGACCAAAA